CAAUUGUUAGCUUUGAGGUUGCUUUUGUUUGGGUUUCGUUUCUUGUGGUACCUUUUGCAUCAUGAUUUAUUGAGGGUUUCUUGGAUGAGGUGUUCCGAAGGGCAUUGAUUUUUUUUCUACUUGCUUAGAGUUGUUUUAGGGGGCGAGAAGUUCCUUAUUAAAGUAGGAGUGAGGUUGUGAUAAGUGAUUCGAAAUGUCUGAUAUCUGAUGGGGAUGAGUUUUUUUGAUUUAGAAUAGCUUGGCGAGGAUGUCAAGUUGUAGAUAAGAUUUAAGUUGGUUGUUUGAUUUUAUUGGGGGUUAAAAUUCCCCGUAGUUUGUGUGUGUGUUAUGACUCAUUGUGCUUUUCUUUCUGAUUUAUGUGAAUUCAUCUUUUAUUAAUCUUGGUUUGAUUAAUGGUAGAAUAAGUAGGUGUUUUGAUUUUCCUUUUUUUUUCUCGAUUGUUCUCGGUCUGUUUAUUAAAAACAUUUCUAUCUGGAUUUUUAGAUAGUAGUGCCUGCCCAGUGCUUUGUAAAUGGCCGCAGUAUCUUGACUGUGCUAAGGUAGCAUAAUUAGUUGCCUCAUAAUUGGAGGAUUGUUUGAAAGGUUUGACUUGGGAAUUAGAUUAAAUUGAGGUUUGGUCUGAAAUUGAAGUUGAGGUGCAGAUUCCUCGGUUUGUGAAUAAGACGGAAAGACCCCGAGAUCUUUAUGUUGUGUUGUUUGUUUGGGGCAAAAUACUGUAUUUUACGGUGUUUUUGAUCCUAAGGGAUAGAAGGUUUUAGUUACCUCGGGGAUAACUAGGUAAAAAAUAAGGAGAGAUCGGAUCGAUUUAUUUUAUUGCCAUCUCGAUGUUGACUUAGGAAGAGUGAAGAGGUGUAGGAGUUUCUUUGUAGGGUCUGUUCGACCAUAGUUUCCUUCAUGAGUUGAGUUAAGACCGGCGUGAGCCAGGUCGGUUCUUAUCUAUUGGUGGUGUGGAUUAGUACGAAAGGAUUGUUUGUGCUUUAGUUUAA
rnacentral:rRNA from 1 species